rnacentral:rRNA from 1 species
GGGGGGAUUAGUGGCGAACGGGUGAGUAACACGUGAGUAACCUGAAAUUGACUCUGGGAUAACGCCUGGGAAACCGGGUCUAAUACUGGAUACGACCUUCUGGCGCAUGCCAUGUUGGUGGAAAGCUUUUGUGGUUUUGGAUGGACUCGCGGCCUAUCAGCUUGUUGGUGGGGUAAUGGCCUACCAAGGCGACGACGGGUAGCCGGCCUGAGAGGGUGACCGGCCACACUGGGACUGAGACACGGCCCAGACUCCUACGGGAGGCAGCAGUGGGGAAUAUUGCACAAUGGGCGCAAGCCUGAUGCAGCGACGCCCCGUGAGGGAUGAAGGCCUUCGGGUU